GACGAACGCUGGCGGCGUGCUUGACACAUGCAAGUCGAACGCUGAACCCGCUUCGGUGGGGGAUGAGUGGCGAACGGGUGAGUAACACGUGGGCAACCUGCCCCCGGCUCUGGGAUAACUCCAAGAAAUUGGGGCUAAUACCGGAUGUGACCGCUGGCCGCAUGGUCUGGUGGUGGAAAGGGUUUCCGGCUGGGGAUGGGCCCGCGGCCUAUCAGCUUGUUGGUGGGGUAGUGGCCUACCAAGGCGACGACGGGUAGCCGGCCUGAGAGGGUGACCGGCCACACUGGGACUGAGACACGGCCCAGACUCCUACGGGAGGCAGCAGUGGGGAAUAUUGCGCAAUGGGCGGAAGCCUGACGCAGCGACGCCGCGUGGGGGAUGACGGCCUUCGGGUUGUAAACCUCUUUCAGCAGGGACGAAGCGCAAGUGACGGUACCUGCAGAAGAAGCACCGGCCAACUACGUG
rnacentral:rRNA from 1 species